GAUGAACGCUGGCGGCGUGCUUAACACAUGCAAGUCGAACGAUGAAGCCCAGCUUGCUGGGUGGAUUAGUGGCGAACGGGUGAGUAACACGUGAGUAACCUGCCCUUAACUCUGGGAUAAGCCUGGGAAACUGGGUCUAAUACCGGAUAGGAGCGUCCACCGCAUGGUGGGUGUUGGAAAGAUUUAUCGGUUUUGGAUGGACUCGCGGCCUAUCAGCUUGUUGGUGAGGUAAUGGCUCACCAAGGCGACGACGGGUAGCCGGCCUGAGAGGGUGACCGGCCACACUGGGACUGAGACACGGCCCAGACUCCUACGGGAGGCAGCAGUGGGGAAUAUUGCACAAUGGGCGAAAGCCUGAUGCAGCGACGCCGCGUGAGGGAUGACGGCCUUCGGGUUGUAAACCUCUUUCAGUAGGGAAGAAGCGAAAGUGACGGUACCUGCAGGAGAAGCACCGGCUAACUACGUG
rnacentral:rRNA from 1 species